rnacentral:rRNA from 1 species
UACGUAGGGUGCGAGCGUUGUCCGGAAUUACUGGGUGUAAAGGGUUCGUAGGCGGUGUGGCAAGUCGGGAGUGAAAUCUCUGGGCUCAACUCAGAGACUGCUUCCGAAACUGCUGUGCUGGAGUGUGGGAGAGGCGCGUGGAAUUGCAGGUGUAGCUGUGAAAUGCGUAGAUAUCUGCAGGAACACCCGUGGCGAAAGCGGCGCGCUGGACCACUACUGACGCUGAGGAACGAAAGCUAGGGGAGCAAACAGG